rnacentral:rRNA from 1 species
AUUGAACGCUGGCGGCAGGCCUAACACAUGCCAGUCGAGCGGAUGAAGGGAGCUUGCUCCUGGAUUCAGCGGCGGACGGGUGAGUAAUGCCUAGGAAUCUGCCUGGUAGUGGGGGAUAACGUCCGGAAACGGGCGCUAAUACCGCAUACGUCCUGAGGGAGAAAGUGGGGGAUCUUCGGACCUCACGCUAUCAGAUGAGCCUAGGUCGGAUUAGCUAGUUGGUGGGGUAAAGGCCUACCAAGGCGACGAUCCGUAACUGGUCUGAGAGGAUGAUCAGUCACACUGGAACUGAGACACGGUCCAGACUCCUACGGGAGGCAGCAGUGGGGAAUAUUGGACAAUGGGCGAAAGCCUGAUCCAGCCAUGCCGCGUGUGUGAAGAAGGUCUUCGGAUUGUAAAGCACUUUAAGUUGGGAGGAAGGGCAGUAAGUUAAUACCUUGCUGUUUUGACGGUACCAACAGAGUAAGCACCGGCUAACUUCGUG